rnacentral:rRNA from 1 species
GAUGAACGCUAGCGGCAGGCUUAAUACAUGCAAGUCGAGGGGCAGCGCAGUGUAGCAAUACAUGGGCGGCGACCGGCAAACGGGUGCGGAACACGUACAGAACCUUCCUUCGAGCGGGGAAUAGCCCAGAGAAAUUUGGAUUAAUACCCCAUAGUAUAUCGGAGUGGCAUCACUUUGAUAUUAAAGAUUUAUCACUUGAAGAUGGCUGUGCGGCUGAUUAGGUAGUUGGCGGGGUAACGGCACACCAAGCCUGCGAUCAGUAACUGGUGUGAGAGCACGACCAGUCACACGGGCACUGAGACACGGGCCCGACUCCUACGGGAGGCAGCAGUAAGGAAUAUUGGUCAAUGGACGAAAGUCUGAACCAGCCAUGCCGCGUGGAGGAUGAAGGUCCUCUGGAUUGUAAACUUCUUUUAUCUGGGACGAAAAAGGGUCUUUCUAGAUCAACUGACGGUACCAGAUGAAUAAGCACCGGCUAACUCCGUGCCAGCCGCCGCAGUAAUAC